rnacentral:tRNA from 1 species
UGUGGCUGUGGCUUAGUGGUAGAGCACUUACCUAGCGUGUGUGAGGCACUGGGUUUGAUUCUCAGCAUCAUAU